GGGGAUCUAGCUCAGCGGCAUAAGCGCCUGCCUUGCAAGCAGGCAGUUGUGAGUUCGAUCCCUG
rfam:Cavia porcellus supercont2_135 genomic scaffold, whole genome shotgun sequence.